ACGGCUCAGUAACACGUCGAUAAUCUAACCUAAGGUUGAGGAUACCCACGGAAAACUGUGGCUAAUACUUGAUAACGAAAGGAUUCUGGAACGAACCUUUAGUCAAACGCAAGGCCUUAGGAUGAGUCGGCGGCGGAUUAGGCUGUUGGCGGUGUAAUGGACCACCAAACCAUAGAUCCGUAGGGGCCCUGAAAGGGGUAGCCCCGAGAGGGACACUGAAAUACUGGUCCCAGCUCCACGGAGUGCAGCAGGCGCGUAACCUCCACAAUGCGCGAAAGCGUGAUGGGGGGAUCCCGAGUGCUUACACAAUUGUGUAAGCUUUUGCCAAGGGCAAACACCUUGGAGAAUAAGUGGUGGGUAAGACCGGUGCCAGCAGCCGCGGUAACCCCGGCGCCACGAGUGGCAAUCUUUUAUUGGGCCUAAAGCAUUCGUAGCCGGUUUAAUAAAUCCUUUGUGAAAUCGUCGAACUCAAUACGACGGCGUGCAGGGGACACUGUUAAGCUAGAGACUGGGAGGAGUGGGGGGUAUGCCUAGGGGAGCGGUUAAAUGUGAUAAUCCUAGGUAGACCACCUGUGGCGAAGGCGCCCCACUAGAACAGUUCUGACGGUGAGGGAUGAAAGCUAGGGGAGCGAUCCGGAUUAGAUACCCGAGUAGUCCUCGCUGUAAACACUGCGAGCUAGGUGUCGCAUAUUCUACGCGAAUAUGCGGUGUCGAAACGAAGGUGCUAAGCUCGCCGCCUG
rnacentral:rRNA from 1 species